AGCUAAUACCGGAUAAUAUAUUGAACCGCAUGGUUCAAUGGUGAAAGACGGUUUUGCUGUCACUUAUAGAUGGAUCCGCGCCGCAUUAGCAGUUGGUAAGGUAACGGCUUACCAAGGCAACGAUGCGUAGCCGACCUGAGAGGGUGAUCGGCCACACUGGAACUGAGACACGGUCCAGACUCCUACGGGAGGCAGCAGCC
rnacentral:rRNA from 1 species